rnacentral:tRNA from 1 species
GGGGAUUUAGCUCAGUGGUAGAGCGCUUGCCUAGCAAGCACAAGGCCCUGGGUUCACUUCCCAGCUCCG